UGAGAACUGAAGCCAGGAGUGGGGAGAGAUGACCUACUGGAUCAGCCCCAGAAGACAAAAAGAAGGAUGGAGGCUCUAGGCUGUCCCCCAGGUCAGCUGAGUCACAGCACCAGUUGCCACGUCGCUGGACCGGCGGGGAUGUCAUUACCCCUGGGUCCACAGUUGCUAAAACUGAAGAGAGGCUUGGUUUGCUGGCCACGUCAGGGAACAUGAGGCCUUUCCUCAGCGAACUUUAAUAGAGCACUAUGCCGAAGAAUUCAUGAGCUUGGGUCAAGCCCCGGGUCUACCAUUCACUGGCCUCAUGACCCAGAACAAGUUACUUCACCUUCCUGGACAAUGACAUUGGAUCCAACAGACAUCUGUCAAAGGCAUUUUCAUGGAAACUGAGGUCUGUGGGACACACUCAGAAGUUCACUGAAAAGAG
ensembl:lncRNA